GCCUGGGUGGCUCAGUCGGUUGAGCGUCUGACUUCGGCUCAGGUCAUGAUCUUGCAGUGGGUUCAAGCCCCGCGUUGGGCU